UUUCCGUAGGUGAACCUGCGGAAGGAUCAUUAUUGAAUGAACUUGGUAGUGGUUGUAGCUGGCUCUCUCGAGAGCAUGUGCACACCCGCCAUCUUUAUCUUUCCACCUGUGCACUUCUUGUAGACUUUGGGAUUUGAAAACUUAUCCGGGGCAACUCGGUCGGGAGGAGCUGCUGUAGCAAUACGGCUCUCCUUGACAAGUCUUCAAAGUCUAUGUUUUUCAUAUUCCCCAUAGUAUGUAACAGAAUGUAUACAAAUGAGCCUUAGUGCUUAUAAAACUUAUACAACUUUCAACAACGGAUCUCUUGGCUCUC
rnacentral:misc_RNA from 1 species